AUUGCUCAUAAUGCCAAAACAUGUAGGCUCAAUUCACUAACCAUCACUGGAAAAAAACAACGCUGAAAUAUUGUCAGCUCCAGGUGCUAUAGAAGAUUAUAAAUGUUGAUUUGCUGUAUGCUUCAGUGUGUUUCAUCUCACUGAUUUUACAUUCUUAACUAUUUUGUUUUUUUACACUUUGUAUGAUGAGUUUUGGGGUGAAGUUGACUGCUCAUUGCGCAAACUGUGCAACUGAACUGUAAAACUAUACAAGAAAAGUCAGGAGAAAAAAAAAGCAAUUCUUUAAAGCCACAAAGACCACUGCCUGGAUACUUUGAAAGACAGGCUUAUACAGAAUGAUGAACUGACCAAUAAGUUCUGUAACGGUUUUAUCAAAACCUCCAUGUGAUGUGAAACAUUGUGCAUAAAACAACAUGUAAUAAAAAUCAUAAUUAAUAAAAAAUAUUGUUUAUUUAAUUUGCUUUAGAAUAUUAUACAUGGUUAGUAAUUCUAAUGGAAUCUACUUAUUUUGUGAUGUCGCAUACUGUACAGAAAAUAAAUUUAUAACCAAAUAUUUUUCUAUCAUUAUUUUUUUUAUUACUUUUUUAACAUGCUUUUUUUUCAUUGAACAUAAAAUGCAUUACCUUUUAAUGCUUAAUUACAUAAACGUAUGCUUGUGUUUCUAUAAAAGUGCACAACAAACUUUCUGAAAUAUGCUCUGGUCAAUAUCAGACACUUUCAAACUUUAUAAAUUAUA